rnacentral:misc_RNA from 1 species
UACGGAGGGUGCAAGCGUUAUCCGGAAUCACUGGGUUUAAAGGGUGCGUAGGUGGCACCGUAAGUCAGAAGUGAAAGUUUGCGGCUCAACCGUAAAAUUGCUUUUGAUACUGCGAUGCUUGAAUCAGGUUGAGGUUGGCGGAAUGUGGCAUGUAGCGGUGAAAUGCUUAGAUAUGCCAUAGAACACCGAUUGCGAAGGCAGCUGACUGGACCUGUAUUGACGCUGAGGCACGAAAGCGUGGGGAGCGAACAGG